GCCAGGCAUGGUGGGCGUGCCUGUAAUCCCAGCUACUUGGGAGGCUGAGGCAGGAGAAUUGCUUGAACUUGGGAGGCAGAGGUUGCAGUGAGCCAAGAUCGUGCCACUGCACUCCAGCCUGAGCGACAGAGCAAGACUCUGUCUCAA
ensembl:misc_RNA Metazoa_SRP Metazoan signal recognition particle RNA